UAAACGACUCUCGGCAACGGAUAUCUCGGCUCACGCAUCGAUGAAGAACGUAGCAAAAUGCGAUACUUGGUGUGAAUUGCAGAAUCCCGUGAACCAUCGAGUUUUUGAACGCAAGUUGCGCCCAAAGCCAUUCGGCUGAGGGCACGUCUGCCUGGGCGUCACGC
rnacentral:rRNA from 1 species